rnacentral:Y_RNA from 1 species
GGCUGGCCCAAGUGCAGUGGUGCUCACAACUAAUUGAUCACAACAUUACAGAUUUGUUUCUUCUCCAUUCCCACUACUUCACUUGACCAGUCUAAA